ACUGAAAAAAACGGGUUUCAACUCCUUUAGAUUCUCUAUAUCUUGGUCUAGAGUAUUACCAAAUGGACGUGGGCAACCGAAUCUUGAUGGCAUCAAAUUUUACAAAAGUCUCUUGGAGACGCUUAAUAGAAAUGGCAUCAAACCAGUAGUGACUUUAUUUCACUGGGAUCUGCCUCAAGCUCUAGAAGAUGAAUAUGGUGGAUUUUUGAGCCCGAAG